AAAAUAAUAUAAAAUUAAAAAUUUUUAAAAGAAGAAAGAAAAUUUAUGUUUGUCCUAUGCUCCACUCACAGUAAAACUGUAUAUAUCAAUAAUUACUAGAAAAAAUAUUUAAACUGAUUUGGCGUGUAAAAAACCUCUUGACUCCAAACUUCCAAAGUUUUAGAAUGGAACUACACAAUCAAGCAACACCUAUUGUAAUUGUGUUAUCAUGUAAAAAUCCCACUUUUUAAAUUUAUCAAUUUUAGGUAUGGGUUUCCCUAGCUGAUUACUAGUUUCGGAUCAAAUGCAUUACUCAAAAGGUUUGUCAUUUAAAUCCAAAGUAUAAAGCCAGUUUAUAAAUAUGAAUAUGAUUCAGUCUAUCUUGACGAAAAAUCUUUCCUUCCUUGUCUUCAAUACGAACAACAAAGAUUUCCUUCUGGAAGCCUCAUUCAUAUUUACUUAGUCACUAGAUUGGGAAGAAUUGUUACUACAUUUUUUGUGACAGCCUGAAAAUAGGACAUUUAGCAAGGUCAUUUUGAGGAUUUUUAACAUGUUUGACAAUAUCAUAAUUUAAUGGAGUGGUGCGAAGAAUAGUAGGGUGGGAAAAAUCCUAAUUAAGGAUCCUCAAAACAUUGAAUAACCAGAAAAGGCAUAGACAAAAAAGGUAACAAAAAAACAUUACUAUUUUUCUUAUAAGCAAUGAUCUAGGAACUAGCAAACUUGGAUGUAAAAAGAGGCCACGGAUGUCGCUAAGUGUGAGGAGAAUUAAGGAAAUCGAAGAUAAUACCGAAAACUUUAAAAAUUAUCUAAGGGAUUUCAGGGUUGAAGAUAUCAGGGAAGAAAAAAAAAUAACUAUAUUUUGCCUUAUAAAAAAUAAUUUUUAUUUUUUGACAAAUAAAUACAAUAUUUUGCUAAAUUAAAUUAAAUCCUUAGGUAACAGUGUUGUUGUGCUGCAAAAUUUAUAAAUUAGAAGUUGUACCAUUGCAUUAGUAUAAUUUAUUUUCUCUAAAAGUGAGCUUGUGUGAAAAUUGGAAAAAUCCUUAAGCCCAAGACCAAUUUAAACUUUUAAAAAAAUCUCAAUUACUUUGCCCAUUAUACUAACUUUAUGAGUACAUUCGAACAAAAAAAGUUGAUAUGUCUCCAAAGAUUGUUUACAAAAGAAACAUGCUCUCCCUUCCGAUGUUCUACGAUAUGCAGUACUUAAGGUUAAUAAGUUGGUAACCACUCUGUACUUGCAUCAAAAUAAAGAAUAGUCUAUCAUCCUAUUUAUCCAUCUGAUUAUAUCUCUUAUUGAGGCUUUAAAACCAAACCUAUAUUUAUUUUUCCCUAUCUGAUCUAAAAAUUGUUUCUUUUUUAUUUACUUACAAAAAGCAUUCUGAGCCUUUCGUUUCCUAUCAUUUUCAUACAAAAACAAAAGAAAAAAACAAUUUAUCGUCUCUUAAAAACAACAUCCUUUAAAAUUAUUAUUUUUCUAAAAUCUCAUAUGCGGCACAAAUAAGUAUUCGAAGCUCAUUGGAAUCGAUACAUUAAAAGUAAUUGACUUUGGAGAACAUGUACCAUUCAGACCUGAAUUCAAACCGAUAUUAUCUAUCCUACAGCAUUAAAAUAAGGUAAUGAAACGCGACCGUAAGCUUGAUGAGAUACAAUGGUACAACGUUUGAAUAUUUUUUCGCAAGAUGUCACUGUUCAUAUGAUCCCACUCAUUUAUUUUUCUUACUGACGUAGACUACAAUAUAAAUUAUCGUCAAGAGGGAUGAAGCACGCCUCACAUUCUGAAAUUGCUGGGGGUGAAUGAAAAAUCAAUUUAUUCUUUGAUUUCUUCCUUUUUCGAAUAUCCACCAAAGAGAAGAGGAGUUUUGAAUUAUACAUUUUUGAUUUAUUAAUUAUUAUCAUAAUAAUUAAUUGUUUAAUAAUAAAUGUAUAGUUUAAGAUGUAAUGGUCAAUUAUUGUCAGAGGUGAGAACUUGGACUCGCAACUUGACUUAGACUCCAUAGCUAAGUCUUGCCUAGCUAAGUUAAGUCCUUCAUCCGGACCCCUAAUGAAAAUCUUCUAAAAACGGAAAAAAAAGUUUCUGUGCACCAAGACAUUUUUCAGCUUUUGAUCACGUGGGUUCUCGUUUCGCUAUAUUUGAAAAAGCUUUAAUCAAUUCUAAUGGGAUCAAUGAGAACCAUUGCAAUUGAAGAAGGAAUAAGAUAAUAUAAUAAGAAAGAUAUAAUGAUGGGGAAUUCUUUUUAUAUAUAUUUUUUUUUUUUAGUUAUCCAAAAAUCUUAUAUUUCUUCAUAUAUAGAAGUAUAAAUAAUAAUGUGAAGAACUAUAACAAUGUAUGGUGAUAUAUUUAACCCUUAAAAAUAGGUCAACGACACAAGGAUAAAAACAAAAAAAGAAAAACGACAAAUACAAAGACCUGGUAAAUAAUUCAUAUUAUGAAGAGAUGAUCUUGCAUAAGUUCUGAGAAGUAGAAAAUUACAAUCAUGAUAUUCAAAUACUGGAAAACAUAUUCAAAAAAUAAUAAGUUCCACAAAAAUACAUAAUCUAAAUUUAUUCCCUCUAUAUUUCACUUGUUAAAAGUUAACUAUUUAGAAAAAAAUCACAACAAAAUCUAAUUAUAUGUGACGAGUAUUUGAUACCUCCUAAAAAUAUAAAGAAUGAUGUACAGUACGCGUAAAUAUGAGUCACACUUAUAUCUAUAGAUUUUUAUACGUUCAUAUUUGUGUGAUAUUUAAAUAACAGGGUAUCCACGCUUAUUGCAAUUAUUGGGAACAAGACAAAUCCAUGUUGUAUGACAUCUGAGUUUUUCAGGGACUUUUAUAAAUGGGAUUUUUUUUUUGUAUGGUUAGGACCAAAACACAUUUUAUUCAUCAUAAAUUAUUUUAAAUAAUGUAUGGCGGGCAAAAUACUUGUAAAAUAUAUUUUUAAUCGGCGAUUUACCUAAGUUUUAAUCUGCUCAUUUCAAUACUUGAAAAUUGAAAUAACCGCAGUUUAAACAAUGUUUAUUCAGCUACCAUUUUAAUUGCAAGUUUAUAUGUUGAAUAAUGACCAACAAAUUAAAAUCUAUGUAUUAAACCAAAUACUUAGAAUACACUCUCCCUCCCCUAUACAUUUUUUUUUCUUCAACUAGGACUUUAUUUAAUCACACAUGCACACACAAUCAAAACAAAAUAUGUGCACAAUAGUGAAAUAAAUGAAUAAAAAUUUUUGUGCAGAAUAAAUUCAUAUAAACAUUAUAACUUAAUGUAAAAUUUCUCUUUAGACUCUAAAAUUUAAUAGAUUUAAAAUUUAAAAAAAACCUCUAUGGAAACAUAUGAAGUACAUAACAUAAAGAACUUUCAAAUGAUAGUUGAAAGGUCUCAUAGUGAGACGAAAUAUAUAUUAAAAAAUCCCGCCUUCUCAACCUAGGAUAUACUGAAGGUGCCUUUGUACAUAUUGAUGAUGGUUUUUAAUGCCUUAGUAUGUCUUAUCGAACAAGAUGUGGAGUAUUUUCUAAGAUCCGAAGUGUAAUUCAAGGAAGUACAAUGCAGCUGGUGAAUCUUCAAGAAAAAGCUGCAUAUGUAGCAGCAGUAUAUUUUAAAAUAACCCUAAGUUGAUCCCGUCAACCACGCCAUCUCUUGUAAUACGCUGAGCUAUAAAAGCUUUACAAUGUCCAAAAGCAGUGUUUAUAGUUUAUUUUCUUUCAAACGACGCGACUGGUGAGUAGGAACUCCAAAUAGAAAAAGAGCCACUUCAGGGUUGGUUACAAAAUCUUUUAGGAACUUAUAGUUAAGAAAUAUAGAAACACAAACAACCGAAGUCAAUCAAAAAAGUUUGUAUAACGUUAUUAAAUUUUUGAUCCCAGCCUUUGCACGGUAUAAUUCCAAUUUAUAAUCACAGCAGAUAUCUGGUACAGGACUGUAAACUUCUUUCCAUGAUUAAUAUCUUUCAAAGAGACAUUAUUAUUUUAUCCCACGUACCAAGAAGGUGCAGAGGUUAACUAUACCUCCUCGAGGUUUGCUUUGCAUCCAACCAUUCAGAAGUUAUAAUAUUAAAUUUUAGACACCACAGCGCUAGAGGAAGGGGAAAGUCCAACGAUCUACGAAAGGGGUAGAGAAAUCUUCUGUUAUUGAAAACGGAGUUCAUACUGAAGGUAAUGGAGUGUUAGGAAGUUAAAUCGAAUGUCAAUAUUUGCCAACUCUACUGGAUCUAGAAAAAUCUUUAAAAAAAAGGUUUUUUGUUCAGAAUUUGGCGAAUCAUGUCGAUCGUGUUAUUUGAAAGAAAACAAGGAAAUUUUUGGAAUUUAUUUAAACUAAUUUAUAAAACAAAGUUCCAAGACAUUUAUCUUCCUCUAUUGACGACUCCUCCCUGCCAAAGCGAUAGCAGUAUAUAAUCUUAGGAAUUAAUAUUAUGUUAUAAAGAUCUAUUCUCUUUCGAAGGUUAAAUCUCCCUCAAUGGAGACAUCAAUUCGCGCCUUCGAUUUAAUUUUUAUCCAUUUGUAAAGAGCGGGUCUUUCCAUAAGUGGCAUAAGAUAUUGACUGGGAACUAUGGCAUAGCCACCUAUCUUCAAAUCCAACAAAAGAUGCCAGUGACCUAAAGCGAGGAUAUAAGUUUUGUCGAAAUUCACCGUCAUUCAAAUAACCAGGGUUAACUUUUCGAAAUUAAAAAGAAUAAUUUUGACUCACUUUUCCAAUGUUUUCUUUGAAUUUCACUAAAUCACAAGCGUAAGGUAAUAAGUGUCUAAAUCAACCAAGUGGCAUAUUUCUCCAAUACAAAUCCCAAAACCAUUAUAUUUAGGAUUCUAGUAAAGGUUUAAAUGUUUCAUUGCAGUUACAAAAAGAAGGGGAGAAACUGCACACCCUUUUCUGUGAUUUUUCCUCAAUUUUUUGGUUUCACUCUGGAUUCCAAUUAACAAGAAAGCCCAUUUGAGCUAAACUACACGAAUGGGGUCGAAAAACGUCGUGACGAAUGUGUUUUCACAGCUUUUUAUAAUCAACUUAUUACUGAUCAAAUCAAAAUCACUACUCAAGUAAAUUGCAAUGAUUUCUCCAUAUUUGUCUCCUAAUCUUUUGGAGUCAAUAACAGGCUCUAUACUCCUUGAAAUGUCACCAAUAAGUCUCCUUUUAGCAAAACGUUUUUGUUGAUGAGCAAUCUCUCUAUUUAAUAUGUAUUUGAUUCGCUUUGUUAAUACUCAGGUCAAAGUUUAUACAUGUUUUGGUUAGAAUUGGUAAUGAUCUCCAAUGGUUUAUCGUUGUCUGCUCACCUUUUUUAGGCGCCAAAGAGAUUCUACCCUAUGUAAUAACAGCAGGCAGCUUAGCUUUUUGUAUCCAUAUCGGCUCCAAAUAUAAUUAAGCAAGGAAUAAUCUCUUCAAGGCAUGAUGUAAAUAUAUCCCCUUUGAUGUGAUCUGGAUCAGAUGCUUUAAUAUCUUUAUAAUAGUGAUUAAUAUAGUAAAGCAUAUUCUCGUCCGAAUAAACAUACCAAUUUUUUGCUAAUUUGGUCUCGGAAAUCUCUCUUUGGCACCACAAAAUAUUUUUUGUAAUACUCAUGAAAAUAUUUGAGAAUGGAUUUUGAUUUUGUAAGCACUUCAUUUUCAGUUAAUAUCUUCCUAGAGUGAAUAGUUCAUUUGUUGGUGACAGAUAUUUCAAUCUUUUGUGGGGCUUUCCUUCAAUCACAACUUUUUUCUAAUUUUCUUCUUCUGAAAUCUCAGUAAUUACUAUAAUGUUUUAAAUGUUCCCCGUUAUGCCUCAAACAAACAAGGAUCCUCUCUUCAUUAUGUUCUUUACUUCUUCCUUCAUCUGAAUCUCCCCAUUCCUUUUCCAUUGGAUUGAGGUAAUGGUUUGUAUCUCGAAUAAUUUUUGUAAAUAUGCCAUAGAACUUAUUGGAGGAUAGCGUACGGUCAAAAGAAAUCCUCAAUCUAUUCUUUAAUUUCGAUUUAUAAUCGUCUGAGGCAACAACCAAAUUUGAGCUUCUAAAGCUUUUGCUAGAAGGUUUGGUAUAAAAUAUCCAAGUUGAUCAAUUUGUGAUCAGACAAAGAUUCGAAUCUGUAAGUAGUUUUUUGUAAUAUUGGAAAAUACUUUUAUAAGCUAGGGCAUGAUAAAUUCUAAACGACUUUCUCCUUAACAUCCACUAAACAUAGAUACAAAAUUGUACACUUAUAUUAUAUGAAAUUAUUAUGAAUUAUAUGAAAGUAUGAACAUACUCAUUCAGAACUACAAAAAUUCUUGUUCAUAAUAAUAUUUUUUUUAAAUGCGAUUUGAGAUAAAUUUACUGCACAAUACUAGAAGUCAGAAUAAUUACAAACACCGCGUUAUGCGAUAUCCACGGUGUUUGAAGCUGCGUUAUGUGGGGACCUCCUGUAGUUCAUUUACAUACGUUUUAAAACCAAAAACACAUUACAAUAACAAUAUUUUGUCGGAUUUGUUGUUCCAUAUAGCUGUGGACCAGGAAUUCCAACCCGUGGUCUGCAUUGCCACUUGCUUAAUGAUAAAGUGUGGCCCACUACUAAUUCUUAUUUUCAAGAAGUAUUAUUUAGCCUUAUCCCAAAUAAUUGAUUUUUUAAAAGAAUUGCAUACGAAUAAAGAGGUGAUUUUUUAAUUUUUUAUUUAAGGAUUGCUUUUCUAAAUAAAAAAUACCGAUGGUCGAACAAAAAAUUACAAAUUAAAAAAAAAAUUACAAAUCAAGCCUCCAAAAAAUAUUUCUGCGAUAGGCCGUUUGAAAGAGUUUGACAUUGAAAAAUUAGAUUUGGCCUAAAUUUAAAAUAAAUAUUUAUUUAAUAGUUGUUUUUUUUAAACGCCAUUUUGCAUUAAGUUUAAUUUAAUAGGUGCUGUACCCUAUUUGAAUAUUUCCAGUGACAAUGCGAGCCAUUAUAUUAAAAAGUGGGACUUUCUUGUUUUAUUCAUUGUGAUUGUCCUCUCAAUAUCCCAUAGAUAAGACUUUGUAGUUUGUUAUAAUAUCAUGAUAGGUUAGAAUGAAAAUUUUCAAUUCCAAAAGAAAUACAUUUUGACUAUUUUUUAAUUGAAUAUUUAUCCGUCCCCGAUUGUAAAUACAAAAAUUCAAUAAUAAUUCAAACAACUCGAUAUGAUAGAGGUUGGAUGGAAUAAUGAGAGAAGCUAAAAUACGGAAAAGAAAGGAAAUAGUUUUUUGAUAUC
rnacentral:lncRNA from 1 species